UACCUGCAGCUCGAGUGGUGAUCGUUAUUAUUGGGCCUAAAACGUCCGUAGCCGGUCUUGUAAAUGCCUAGGUAAAUCGUAUGGCUUAACUAUACGAAUUCUGGGUAGACUGUUAGACUUGAGACCGGGAGAAGCUAGAGGUACUCCUGGGGUAGAGGUGAAAUUCUGUAAUCCUAGGGGGACCACCAGUGGCGAAGGCGUCUAGCUAGAACGGGUCUGACGGUGAGGGACGAAGCCCUGGGGCGCAAACGGGAUUGGAUACCCCGGUAGUCCAGGGUGUAAACGCUGCUUGCUUGAUGUUAGUCUGGCUCCGAGCCAGAUUAGUGUCGGAGAGAAGUUGUUAAGCAAGCUGCCUGGGAAGUACGGCCGCAAGACUGAAACUUAAAGGAAUUGGGCGGGGGAGCACAGCAACGGGUGGAGCGUGCGGUUU
rnacentral:rRNA from 1 species